rnacentral:rRNA from 1 species
UACAGAGGUCUCAAGCGUUGUUCGGAUUCAUUGGGCGUAAAGGGCGCGUAGGCUGCGGGGCAAGUCGGGUGUGAAAUCUCAGAGCUCAACUCUGAAACUGCACUCGAUACUGCUUUGCUCGAGGACUGGAGAGGAGAUUGGAAUUCACGGUGUAGCAGUGAAAUGCGUAGAUAUCAAGAGGAACACCUGAGGUGAAGACGGGUUGCUGGGCCGACACUGACGCUGAAGCGCGAAAGCCAGGGGAGCAAACGGG